GGGAGGCGGGCGCACGGAGAGGCGCCUCCCAGUUGGGUCCCACCCGUGGCCACGCAGGUCCAGAACUGCCAGUGUCCAGAAUUUCAAUAAGAGAUUUUUUUUUUUUAAAUGCAGAACCAUUUGAAUUCUGAAUGUUGGCUCACUUAGCAAGAAGGCUAGGGGGCCAGGCGGAACCUGCCCGCUGGUGACUGCUAGUUUGCUGGGAUUGUGGUAACCGAGGGCCACAGAUGGUGGCUUAACCCAUAGGAAUUUGUGAUCUCGUAACCUGAAGCCCAGAAGGCCCAGAUCCGUGUUGGCAGGGUUGAUUCCUUCCAAGGCGGUGAGGGAAGGAGCCGUUCGGCUCUGUCCAGGCUCUGUCCCCAGCUGGUGGACGGGCUUCUCCUCCCUUCCCAGCAUCUCCCCUCUCGGCACGUCUCUGCCGCCCAUCUCUUUUAUAAGAAUGUCAGCCGUGGUCUAGGAGGGUCCACCUGGUCACCCCGUCUGAACUUGCUUGCCUCUGUAAAGACCCUGUUUACAAAUGAGGCCACAUUCUGAGGGUCAGGGCUUGAACACCUGAACGUUGAGGGUGUGGUCAGCACGUGGCCGGUGGUGAGAUCCCGCGUGCGGCUGCUGGAGGGCGCCGUGCUGAUGGCCGGGGGUGUGUACGGGGGGAUGUAGACCAAGAAGCCAAGUGAAGAAUUUGUUGGAUAGUGACACCUGCCACGGACUGAGGGGAGCGGACAUCUAAGGGAGAUGAAUCUGCAAUUUUAAGUUGAGCGGUCAGGAGGUAAGGAGCUGGUCCAACUGGCCAUCAGGGAAGGUCGUCUGGUGGCGAGGAGAGUCCUGCGGUGAGGUCAUGUCCAUCAAGCCCAAGGAGUGCCGCGGUUCUGUUGCCCUCUGGCUUCUAGUCAUGCUUGGCCUGUGGGAGAGUUAGCAGGGGACCUCAGAGGGAGGCCCUGGCUGUCCCUGGACCUUGCUGUUUCCCGCCUUGUGCUGAAGGCCAGGGACAUCCUUCCUGUCUCUCCUGCUGCUUUGAGAUUGGCCCGCGCCUUGGCCAGCCGCUUCUUAAUGCUACACAAUCCUCGGCUUACGGAUGGAGUGCCAGCCUGGUUCUUGUUGGGACCGUGAUUGACACGUUGGGAUCACUGAGACAAGGGCUGUGUUCCUGGAAGCUGGGAAUCACAAACUGUAGGAACCAGGAUCCAGUCAUCGCGUUGGCAGUUACAGCUGAGACCCUCUUCUCCUUCUGCAGGUGAGUCGUGGGUUGGGGUCAGGGGCAACCUGGCUCCUACAGGUGGCUGGCCAGGGGCGCCUGCUCUGUGCAGUCCCCAGCCUGCGGGGCUGGUUACUGGGCAGGGGUCACAGCCAGCUCCCAACAGGGGGCAGCACUGUCCUUGUUGCCCUUUUCAAAUUUUCCGUGGAGCCCUUUCCCCGUCCGUGGAAGAUGGAUGAUUUCGUUAUUCGUGGCACUUGGCAAUAAAUCUCGGAGUCGCGGCUGGCGCAAGCUCUUUCCCCGCGUAGCGUCUUCUGCUGGCUGCGAUUCAUCAUGGUUAAUCUUUCCUGCACCUCGGGG
rnacentral:lncRNA from 1 species